AACGUAGGAGACAAACGUUAUCCGGAGUUACUGGGCGUAAAGGGCGUGUAGGUGGUUGUGUAAGUCUGGCGUGAAAUUUUUCGGCUUAACCGGGAAAGGUCGUCGGAUACUGCAGAACUAGAGGACGGUAGAGGCGUGUGGAAUUCCGGGUGUAGUGGUGAAAUGCGUAGAGAUCCGGAGGAACACCAGUGGCGAAGGCGACACGCUGGGCCGAUACUGACGCUGAGGAGCGAAAGCGUGGGGAGCGAACAGG
rnacentral:rRNA from 1 species